GCGUCGGCGGUAUAGCGGUUAGGACGUUUGCCUACCAUGCACAUGGUCCGGGGUUCGACCCCCAGCCGACGCG
rnacentral:tRNA from 1 species